CCGAGUUUUCUACUCCCAAACCCCUGUGAACUUAUACCUUUACUGUUGCUUCGGCGGGUUAACGCCCCGGAACGGCCCCCCAAGGCCUCCCGGAACCAGGCGCCCGCCGGGGGACCCAAACCCUUGAAUACAUUAAAGAAUUUCUUCUGAGUAACCGAUUAAAUAAAUCA
rnacentral:misc_RNA from 1 species